CUGCACGCUCUGAGAGAAGUCUUUCACUCGUACUUUCUUUCCCCUCCAAAUGCAUCAGAAAUCUACGGCAUUGAGUUGUUUUGAUGUCAUAAGUCUGUCAACACUUUUUGCCAGAGGUACAAGAACCGAUCUGGGCCAAAGUGGGCAGGGAGAGAGGAGGGCACGGCCGAGACUGCUCUCAAGCCCCAGCCCUUGUUAGAGUGGGGUUGCUCACCAGCACGCUGCUCAGCCUUUCCCUCGUCUUGCAGACGAAAGAGAGGGACGUGGAAAUGCGCUCUCCUCUCCUUUCUUCCCCGCCCUUUUUUCACCACCACCAUGGCCUGUUCCCUUCGGGUCAUCUCUGCGGAGAUCCCUGCACUGUCCUUUACAAAAUCUACUUCCAGGGUGCAUUUCCUGCUGGGUGGUCGUCAUGGAGACUUUAAGUUCCUACCCCUGGUGGGUUACUCCCGGUGUUACGAGGCACUGCUCCCAAAGGAGAAGAUUAGGGUGGAGGCUGUGAAGGAGUACAAGAGGGACCAUGGAGGGGUUAGGGACCGACAGGGACAACACAGUUCCUGUCCCAGGCCUCAUUCAUCCCAACACUUGUAGACACCAGCCAGGGGGCCCCCUCUUGACGGUGGAGAGAAAAAUGGUCUGGGUCCGAACAUGACUGAGCAGACAGGAUUAGCAAGUCUAUUGGUGUCCUCAAGGAAUUGAUGGACACUGCAGAUGCUGACUUGGAGGUGUCAAAGUCUAGUGGCAUCCAUCAUGCUGCUCGCCAGACCGAGGACAUUCUAGCCCUUGUGGAGGUCGUCAUGGAGGCAGAGCUGUUCAAAAGCCAACCAGGCAAAGAGUUCACGACAUUCCCUGGUUUUAACGGAAACAUUCUAGCUAAUGUCAAGUAAAGUGAGUUGUGCGGGUGGUUAAGGUCCAAAUGGUAAAUAUAGCUACAUAAUUUCAUAUCAAACAAGUGUGCGCUUGUUGAAGCUAGCAGCUAGCUAGCUAGUAGUGCAUACAUGUAAGUAAACAACCUGAAAGACGAUAAGCUAGCUAGCUAUAUGCCUUGCUCGCACCUAACAUUAUAACAUUAGCAAGUAAUGGACAGAUGACUAAUGUUUGCAAGUCCAUAACUAGCUAGCUAUGUAGCUAUGUUAAUAUUAAACUUUCUGAACAAGA